rnacentral:rRNA from 1 species
UACGGGGGGGCAAGCGUUGUUCGGAAUUACUGGGCGUAAAGGGCUCGUAGGCGGCCAACUAAGUCAUACGUGAAAUCCCUCGGCUUAACCUGGGAACUGCGUCGGAUACUGGUUGGCUUGAAUCCGGGAGAGGGAUGCGGAAUUCCAGGUGUAGCGGUGAAAUGCGUAGAUAUCUGGAGGAACACCGGUGGCGAAGGCGGCAUCCUGGACCGGCAUUGACGCUGAACAGCGAAAGCCAGGGGAGCAAACGGGGAUUAGAAUGACCC